UCUUUCAAAUCUGUUUUGAUACGUUUUCACUUCAUGAUGCAGAGUACGGUCGCUCUCAGGAGGUUGCAGAAAAAGGACAUAAAACCAUAAUAAGUUUUCAGAGAGGAUAUCAGCAUACCAUCUGAAGGUUAUCCCACUGUGGUUCAUUCAGCUCAGGGUUGGAAGGACUAAAGGAUCGCAUUGAUUUGCAUGAUGUUUAAGGCUGAACACGUGAAACCAGCUUCUCAUCUGGACAUUAUUUCUCCCUGACUUUAUGAAACAUGACAUCUUCUGAAAGCUCCAUCUGAUCAAUUGUAAAAAUUCAGGAAAUUCCUAUUAUUGGUGUGGGAGAGUACCACUAUUCUGCGAAAACAGUAGAAAGCAACAUGGAAAAAUGGGGUAGCAGCAGUAAUUUAGAUAUCACUGUAUUCGUAGAUGAAGUAAUUGGGUGCUAGCACUCAUUUGUGUCCGUGGCAUACCAAUACCUUUGUCUCCUCUCUAAGAAUUAAAGUUAUC
rnacentral:lncRNA from 1 species